rnacentral:rRNA from 2 species
GUCAGAGCCCGUUAAUGGGUGAUGGCGUGCCUUUUGUAGAAUGAACCGGCGAGUUACGAUUUGAUGCAAGGUUAAGCAGUAAAUGUGGAGCCGUAGCGAAAGCGAGUCUGAAUAGGGCGUUUAGUAUUUGGUCGUAGACCCGAAACCAGGUGAUCUACCCUUGGUCAGGUUGAAGUUCAGGUAACACUGAAUGGAGGACCGAACCGACUUACGUUGAAAAGUGAGCGGAUGAACUGAGGGUAGCGGAGAAAUUCCAAUCGAACCUGGAGAUAGCUGGUUCUCUCCGAAAUAGCUUUAGGGCUAGCCUCAAGUGAUGAUUAUUGGAGGUAGAGCACUGUUUGGACGAGGGGCCCCUCUCGGGUUACCGAAUUCAGACAAACUCCGAAUGCCAAUUAAUUUAACUUGGGAGUCAGAACAUGGGUGAUAAGGUCCGUGUUCGAAAGGGAAACAGCCCAGACCACCAGCUAAGGUCCCAAAAUAUAUGUUAAGUGGAAAAGGAUGUGGCGUUGCCCAGACAACUAGGAUGUUGGCUUAGAAGCAGCCAUCAUUUAAAGAGUGCGUAAUAGCUCACUAGUCGAGUGACACUGCGCCGAAAAUGUACCGGGGCUAAACAUAUUACCGAAGCUGUGGAUUGUCCUUUGGACAAUGGUAGGAGAGCGUUCUAAGGGCGUUGAAGCAUGAUCGUAAGGACAUGUGGAGCGCUUAGAAGUGAGAAUGCCGGUGUGAGUAGCGAAAGACGGGUGAGAAUCCCGUCCACCGAUUGACUAAGGUUUCCAGAGGAAGGCUCGUCCGCUCUGGGUUAGUCGGGUCCUAAGCUGAGGCCGACAGGCGUAGGCGAUGGAUAACAGGUUGAUAUUCCUGUACCACCUAUAAUCGUUUUAAUCGAUGGGGGGACGCAGUAGGAUAGGCGAAGCGUGCGAUUGGAUUGCACGUCUAAGCAGUAAGGCUGAGUAUUAGGCAAAUCCGGUACUCAUUAAGGCUGAGCUGUGAUGGGGAGAAGACAUUGUGUCUUCGAGUCGUUGAUUUCACACUGCCGAGAAAAGCCUCUAGAUAGAAAAUAGGUGCCCGUACCGCAAACCGACACAGGUAGUCAAGAUGAGAAUUCUAAGGUGAGCGAGCGAACUCUCGUUAAGGAACUCGGCAAAAUGACCCCGUAACUUCGGGAGAAGGGGUGCUCUUUAGGGUUAACGCCCAGAAGAGCCGCAGUGAAUAGGCCCAAGCGACUGUUUAUCAAAAACACAGGUCUCUGCUAAACCGUAAGGUGAUGUAUAGGGGCUGACGCCUGCCCGGUGCUGGAAGGUUAAGAGGAGUGGUUAGCUUCUGCGAAGCUACGAAUCGAAGCCCCAGUAAACGGCGGCCGUAACUAUAACGGUCCUAAGGUAGCGAAAUUCCUUGUCGGGUAAGUUCCGACCCGCACGAAAGGCGUAACGAUUUGGGCACUGUCUCAACGAGAGACUCGGUGAAAUCAUAGUACCUGUGAAGAUGCAGGUUACCCGCGACAGGACGGAAAGACCCCGUGGAGCUUUACUGUAGCCUGAUAUUGAAAUUCGGCACAGCUUGUACAGGAUAGGUAGGAGCCUUUGAAACGUGAGCGCUAGCUUACGUGGAGGCGCUGGUGGGAUACUACCCUAGCUGUGUUGGCUUUCUAACCCGCACCACUUAUCGUGGUGGGAGACAGUGUCAGGCGGGCAGUUUGACUGGGGCGGUCGCCUCCUAAAAGGUAACGGAGGCGCUCAAAGGUUCCCUCAGAAUGGUUGGAAAUCAUUCAUAGAGUGUAAAGGCAUAAGGGAGCUUGACUGCGAGACCUACAAGUCGAGCAGGGUCGAAAGACGGACUUAGUGAUCCGGUGGUUCCGCAUGGAAGGGCCAUCGCUCAACGGAUAAAAGCUACCCCGGGGAUAACAGGCUUAUCUCCCCCAAGAGUUCACAUCGACGGGGAGGUUUGGCACCUCGAUGUCGGCUCAUCGCAUCCUGGGGCUGUAGUCGGUCCCAAGGGUUGGGCUGUUCGCCCAUUAAAGCGGUACGCGAGCUGGGUUCAGAACGUCGUGAGACAGUUCGGUCCCUAUCCGUCGUGGGCGUAGGAAAUUUGAGAGGAGCUGUCCUUAGUACGAGAGGACCGGGAUGGACAUACCUCUGGUGUACCAGUUGUCGUGCCAACGGCAUAGCUGGGUAGCUAUGUGUGGACGGGAUAAGUGCUGAAAGCAUCUAAGCAUGAAGCCCCCCUCAAGAUGAGAUUUCCCAACUUCGGUUAUAAGAUCCCUCAAAGAUGAUGAGGUUAAUAGGUUCGAGGUGGAAGCAUGGUGACAUGUGGAGCUGACGAAUACUAAUCGAUCGAAGACUUAAUCAA